UGGGGAAUAUUGCACAAUGGGCGCAAGCCUGAUGCAGCCAUGCCGCGUGUAUGAAGAAGGCCUUCGGGUUGUAAAGUACUUUCAGCGGGGAGGAAGGGAGUAAAGUUAAUACCUUUGCUCAUUGACGUUACCCGCAGAAGAAGCACCGGCUAACUCCGUGCCAGCAGCCGCGGUAAUACGGAGGGUGCAAGCGUUAAUCGGAAUUACUGGGCGUAAAGCGCACGCAGGCGGUUGAUUGAGUCAGAUGUGAAAUCCCCGGGCUUAACCCGGGAAUUGCAUCUGAUACUGGUCAGCUAGAGUCUUGUAGAGGGGGGUAGAAUUCCAUGUGUAGCGGUGAAAUGCGUAGAGAUGUGGGGGAAUACCGGUGGCGAAGGCGGCCCCCUGGACAAAGACUGACGCUCAGGUGCGAAAGCGUGGGGAGCAAACAGG
rnacentral:rRNA from 1 species